AAUGCAGUCGAGCGGAAGAUGGGAGCUUGCUCCCUGAUGUUAGCGGCGGACGGGUGAGUAACACGUGGGUAACCUGCCUGUAAGACUGUGGAUAACUCCGCGGAAACCGGGGCUAAUACCGGAUGGUUGUUUGAACCGCAUGGUUCAGACAUAAAAGGUGGCUUCGGCUACCACUUACAGAUGGACCCGCGGCGCAUUAGCUAGUUGGUGAGGUAACGGCUCACCAAGGCGACGAUGCGUAGCCGACCUGAGAGGGUGAUCGGCCACACUGGGACUGAGACACGGCCCAGACUCCUACGGGAGGCAGCAGUAGGGAAUCUUCCGCAAUGGACGAAAGUCUGACGGAGCAACGCCGCGUGAGUGAUGAAGGUUUUCGGAUCGUAAAGCUCUGUUGUUAGGGAAGAACAAGUGCCGUUCAAAUAGGGCGGCACCUUGACGGUACCUAACCAGAAAGCCACGGCUAACUACGUGCCAGCAGCCGCGGUAAUACGUAGGUGGCAAGCGUUGUCCGGAAUUAUUGGGCGUAAAGGGCUCGCAGGCGGUUUCUUAAGUCUGAUGUGAAAGCCCCCGGCUCAACCGGGGAGGGUCAUUGGAAACUGGGGAACUUGAGUGCAGAAGAGGAGAGUGGAAUUCCACGUGUAGCGGUGAAAUGCGUAGAGAUGUGGAGGAACACCAGUGGCGAAGGCGACUCUCUGGUCUGUAACUGACGCUGAGGAGCGAAAGCGUGGGGAGCGAACAGGAUUAGAUACCCUGGUAGUCCACGCCGUAAACGAUGAGUGCUAAGUGUUAGGGGGUUUCCGCCCCUUAGUGCUGCAGCUAACGCAUUAAGCACUCCGCCUGGGGAGUACGGUCGCAAGACUGAAACUCAAAGGAAUUGACGGGGGCCCGCACAAGCGGUGGAGCAUGUGGUUUAAUUCGAAGCAACGCGAAGAACCUUACCAGGUCUUGACAUCCUCUGACACUCUAGAGAUAGGACGUCCCCUUCGGGGCAGAGUGACAGGGGGGCAUGGUUUCCACUCGCGUCCCGAGAUGUUGGGUUAAGUCCAACAACCGCAACCCUUGAUCUUAUUUGCCACUUUCCUUGGGCCUCUAAGGGACUGCCGGG
rnacentral:rRNA from 1 species